ACUGGAUAGGCAAUUAUUCCUGCAAUGGUUUUUUGUUUAAAUGUUUUUUCGCCUAAGGAUGGGUCUGCGGCCGAUUAGGUAGUUGGUUAGGUAAUGGCUUACCAAGCCGUUGAUCGGUACGGGUUGUGAGAGCAAGAGCCCGGAGAUGGAACCUGAGACAAGGUUCCAGGCCCUACGGGGUGCAGCAGGCGCGAAACCUCCGCAAUGUGAGAAAUCGCGACGGGGGGAUCCCAAGUGCCAUUCUUAACGGGAUGGCUUUUCAUUAGUGUAAAGAGCUUUUGGAAUAAGGGGUGGGCAAGACCGGUGCCAGCCGCCGCGGUAACASCGGCAGGRMAGUGGUAGCAGUUUUUAUUGGGCCUAAAGCGUCCGUAGCCGGUUUAAUAAGUCUCUGGUGAAAUCCUGUAGCUUAACUGUGGGAAUUGCUGGAGAUACUAUUAGACUUGAGACCGGGAGAGGUUAGAGRUACUCCCAGGGUAGAGGUGAAAUUCUGUAAUCCUGGGAGGACCGCCUGUUGCGAASGCGUCUAACUGGAACGGUUCUGACGGUGAGGGACGAAAGUUARGGGCGCGAACCGGAUUAGAUACCCGGGUARUCCUAASCGUAAACGAUGCSGACUUGGUGUUGGGGUGGCUUUGAGCUGCUCCASUGCCGWAGGGAAGCUGUUUAAGUCCGCCGCCUGGGAAGCUACGGUCGCAAGACUGAAACUUAAAGARAAUUGGCGGGGGAGCACCWCAACGCGUGGAGCCUGCGGWUUAAUUGGUAUUCAACGCCGGACAUCUCACMAGAGGCGACAGCUGUAUGAUAGCCAGGCUGAUGACUUUGCUUUGACUAGCUGAGAGGAGGUGCAUGGCCGCCGUCAGCUCGUACCKUGAGGCGUCCUGUUAAGUCAGGCAACKRGCRAGAMCCACGCCCUUWRKUACCWRMRGAKCMUUUUGGAURCCRRGSACACUAAGGGRACCGCCUGUGAUAAACAGGAGGAAGGAGUGGACGACGGUAGGUCCGUAUGCCCCGAAUCCUCUGGGCAACACGCGGGCUACAAUGGCUAAGACAAUGGGUUCCGACACCGAA
rnacentral:rRNA from 1 species